rnacentral:lncRNA from 1 species
UGAAGUUCAGAUUUCUCCUGCUCAAUCUGCUUCUUGACUUUCUCCAGCUCAUGAAUAGCCUUUCCUCCCUCUGCAAUCUGCUCCGUGAGGUCAGAAAUCUCCUGCUGCAAGUUCUUGUUCUCACGCUUCAGUGUUUCCAGGUGGUCCAGGGAUUCCUCAUAGGCAUUCUUCAUCUUAAACAGCUCUGUGCUGAGGGAGCGAGACUCCUUCUGGGAGGCCUCCAGCUCAGCCUGCGUUUCCUCGUACUUCUGCUUCCACUCCGACAGGAUCUUGUCAAAGUUCUUCUGCUUCUUGUCCAGAGCUGCGCAGGCAGCAUUUGCUCGCUCCACGUCAAUCAUCAGGUCCUCCACCUCAUUCUGCAGCCUCUGCUUUGUCUUUUCCAGGGAAGCGCAUUUGGCAUUCACAGCUUCAACAUGUUCCUCGGCAUCCUGCAGACGCUGUGCUAGCUUCUUCCUGGGAAGAAUAAAGCACAUACCACAG